AGUGAACGCUGGCGGCGUGCUUAACACAUGCAAGUCGAACGAGAACGGAUUAUAGCUUGCUAUAAUUGUCAGCUAAGUGGCGCACGGGUGAGUAAUGUAUAGGUAAUAUGCCUCUUACUAAGGGAUAACAAAUGGAAACGUUUGCUAAUACCUUAUACUCCUUAUUAACCUAAGUUAAUAAGGGAAAGAUUUAUUGGUAAGAGAUUAGCCUGUAUUGUAUCAGUUAGUUGGUGGGGUAAUGGCUUACCAAGACUAUGACACAUAACUGGUUUGAGAGGAUGAUCAGUCACACUGGAACUGAGACACGGUCCAGACUCCUACGGGAGGCAGCAGUGGGGAAUAUUGCACAAUGGACGAAAGUCUGAUGCAGCAACGCCGCGUGGAGGAUGACACAUUUCGGUGCGUAAACUCCUUUUAUAUGAGAAGAUAAUGACGGUAUUAUAUGAAUAGGCACCGGCUAACUCCGUGCCAGCCGCCGCAGUAAGAC
rnacentral:rRNA from 1 species